rnacentral:rRNA from 1 species
UACGGGGGGGGCAAGCGUUGUUCGGAAUUACUGGGCGUAAAGGGCUCGUAGGCGGCCAACUAAGUCAGACGUGAAAUCCCUCGGCUUAACCGGGGAACUGCGUCUGAUACUGGAUGGCUUGAGGUUGGGGAGAGGGAUGCGGAAUUCCCGGUGUAGUGGUGAAAUGCGUAGAUAUCUGGAGGAACACCGGUGGCGAAGGCGGCGUCCUGGACCAACACUGACACUGAUGAGCGAAAGCCAGGGGAGCAAACGGG